GAAUUUUAUUAUUUAUUUCUUAUUGUAUCAAGCCAAGCAUCAGAGAUUUCUAUAAUAUGAGUCUAAGGAUUGUAUGUUUGUGGAAUAUGAGUUGUUUUAUGGAAGAAACAUAAUUACUUUACUGGUUUGGAUCUCCAGUAUGUA